GACGAACGCUGGCGGCGUGCCUAAUACAUGCAAGUAGAACGCUGAAGAGAGGAGCUUGCUCUUCUUGGAUGAGUUGCGAACGGGUGAGUAACGCGUAGGUAACCUGCCUGGUAGCGGGGGAUAACUAUUGGAAACGAUAGCUAAUACCGCAUGAAAUGGAUUAUCGCAUGAUAAUCGAUUGAAAGGUGCAAAUGCAUCACUACCAGAUGGACCUGCGUUGUAUUCGCUAGUUGGUGGGGUAACGGCUCACCAAGGCAACGAUACAUAGCCGACCUGAGAGGGUGAUCGGCCACACUGGGACUGAGACACGGCCCAGACUCCGACGGGAGGCAGCAGUAGGGAAUCUUCGGCAAUGGACGGAAGUCUGACCGAGCAAUGCCGCGUGAGUGAAGAAGGUUUUCGGAUCGUAAAGCUCUGUUGUAAGAGAAGAACGAGUGUGAGAGUGGAAAGUUCACACUGUGACGGUAUCUUACCAGAAAGGGACGGCUAACUACGUGCCAGCAGCCGCGGUAA
rnacentral:rRNA from 1 species